UACGAAGGUGGCGAGCGUUACUCGGAAUUACUAGGCGUAAAGGGCAGGUAGGUGGUUUGGUAAGUCUGCUGUGGAAGCUCCCGGCUCAACUGGGAGAGGUCAGCGGAAACUGCCAGGCUAGAGUGUAGGAGAGGGUACUGGAAUUCCCGGUGUAGCGGUGAAAUGCGCAGAGAUCGGGAGGAACACCGAUGGCGAAAGCAGGUACCUGGACUACUACUGACACUAAGCUGCGAAAGCUAGGGGAGCAAACAGG
rnacentral:rRNA from 1 species